GAUGAACGCUAGCGGCAGGCUUAAUACAUGCAAGUCGAGGGGCAGCAUGACUGUAGCAAUACAGUUGAUGGCGACCGGCAAACGGGUGCGGAACACGUACAGAACCUUCCUUCGAGCGGGGAAUAGCCCAGAGAAAUUUGGAUUAAUACCCCAUAGUAUAUUAGAGUGGCAUCACUUUGAUAUUAAAGAUUUAUCACUUGAAGAUGGCUGUGCGGCUGAUUAGGUAGUUGGCGGGGUAACGGCCCACCAAGCCUUCGAUCAGUAACUGGUGUGAGAGCACGACCAGUCACACGGGCACUGAGACACGGGCCCGACUCCUACGGGAGGCAGCAGUAAGGAAUAUUGGUCAAUGGACGAAGUCUGAACAGCCAUGCCGCGUGGAGGAUGAAGGUCCUCUGGAUUGUAAACUUCUUUUAUAUGGGACGAAAAAAGGGUUUUCUAACUCGUCUGACGGUACCAUAUGAAUAAGCACCGGCUAACUCCGUGCCAGCA
rnacentral:rRNA from 1 species